AUUGAACGCUGGCGGCAGGCUUAACACAUGCAAGUCGAACGAUGAAGUCUAGCUUGCUAGACGGAUUAGAGGCGAACGGGUGAGUAAUGCUUAGGAAUCUGCCUAUUAGUGGGGGAUAACGUAGGGAAACUUACGCUAAUACCGCAUACGACCUACGGGUGAAAGGGGGCUUUUAGCUCUCGCUAAUAGAUGAGCCUAAGUCGGAUUAGCUGGUUGGUGGGGUAAAGGCCUACCAAGGCGACGAUCUGUAGCUGGUCUGAGAGGAUGAUCAGCCACACUGGGACUGAGACACGGCCCAGACUCCUACGGGAGGCAGCAGUGGGGAAUAUUGGACAAUGGGCGAAAGCCUGAUCCAGCCAUGCCGCGUGUGUGAAGAAGGCCUUUUGGUUGUAAAGCACUUUAAGUGGGGAGGAAAAGCUUAUGGUUAAUACCCAUAAGCCCUGACGUUACCCACAGAAUAAGCACCGGCUAACUCUGUGCCAGCAGCCGCGGUAAUACAGAGGGUGCAAGCGUUAAUCGGAAUUACUGGGCGUAAAGCGCGCGUAGGUGGUUAUUUAAGUCAGAUGUGAAAGCCCCGGGCUUAACCUGGGAACUGCAUCUGAUACUGGAUAACUAGAGUAGGUGAGAGGGGAGUAGAAUUCCAGGUGUAGCGGUGAAAUGCGUAGAGAUCUGGAGGAAUACCGAUGGCGAAGGCAGCUCCCUGGCAUCAUACUGACACUGAGGUGCGAAAGCGUGGGUAGCAAACAGG
rnacentral:rRNA from 1 species